GAUGAACGCUGGCGGCGUGCUUAACACAUGCAAGUCGAACGAUGAUCCCCGCUUGCGGGGGGAUUAGUGGCGAACGGGUGAGUAACACGUGAGUAACCUGCCCUUGACUCUGGGAUAAGCCUGGGAAACCGGGUCUAAUACCGGAUAUGACCUCCCGCCGCAGUGGUGGGGGGUGAAAGCUUUUUUGUGGUUUUGGAUGGACUCGCGGCCUAUCGAGCUUGUUGGUGAGGUAAUGGCUCACCAAGGCGACGACGGGUAGCCGGCCUGAGAGGGUGACCGGCCANACUGGGACUGAGACACGGCCCAGACUCCUACGGGAGCAGCAGUGGGGAUAUUGCACAA
rnacentral:rRNA from 1 species